CUGCGCGGAAGAUGUAACGGGGCUAAACCAUGCACCGAAGCUGCGGCAGCGACACUGUGUGUUGUUGGGUAGGGGAGCGUUCUGUAAGCCUGUGAAGGUGGCCUGUGAGGGUUGCUGGAGGUAUCAGAAGUGCGAAUGCUGACAUAAGUAACGAUAAAGCGGGUGAAAAGCCCGCUCGCCGGAAGACCAAGGGUUCCUGUCCAACGUUAAUCGGGGCAGGGUGAGUCGACCCCUAAGGCGAGGCCGAAAGGCGUAGUCGAUGGGAAACGGGUUAAUAUUCCCGUACUUGGUGUUACUGCGAAGGGGGGACGGAGAAGGCUAUGUUGGCCGGGCGACGGUUGUCCCGGUUUAAGCGUGUAGGUGUGUGUUCCAGGUAAAUCCGGUUCACUUUAACACUGAGGCGUGAUGACGAGGCACUACGGUGCUGAAGCAACAAAUGCCCUGCUUCCAGGAAAAGCCUCUAAGCAUCAGGUAACAUCAAAUCGUACCCCAAACCGACACAGGUGGUCAGGUAGAGAAUACCAAGGCGCUUGAGAGAACUCGGGUGAAGGAACUAGGCAAAAUGGUGCCGUAACUUCGGGAGAAGGCACGCUGACACGUAGGUGAAGUGAUUUACUCAUGGAGCUGAAGUCAGUCGAAGAUACCAGCUGGCUGCAACUGUUUAUUAAAAACACAGCACUGUGCAAACACGAAAGUGGACGUAUACGGUGUGACGCCUGCCCGGUGCCGGAAGGUUAAUUGAUGGGGUCAGCGCAAGCGAAGCUCCUGAUCGAAGCCCCGGUAAACGGCGGCCGUAACUAUAACGGUCCUAAGGUAGCGAAAUUCCUUGUCGGGUAAGUUCCGACCUGCACGAAUGGCGUAAUGAUGGCCAGGCUGUCUCCACCCGAGACUCAGUGAAAUUGAACUCGCUGUGAAGAUGCAGUGUACCCGCGGCAAGACGGAAAGACCCCGUGAACCUUUACUAUAGCUUGACACUGAACAUUGAGCCUUGAUGUGUAG
rnacentral:rRNA from 1 species